UUUCUAAUUUAUAAAUUUAGAAUAAUAAUUUCUUAAAAAUCAAAUUUAAUUUUGAAAGUUUAUAAUUUAUAUUAAGUUAUAAUAACAUUACUAAUUUUAAAAGUUACUAAACUAAUAAUAUUAGAAUUAGAAAUUUACAAUACUCAAAUCAAAAUAAUAUCAAAAUACAAUGCUAGUUUAUUAGUAGUUUAGGCCAUUGAUUUUAGAAAGAUGAAAAUCCAACCAUUGAUUAAGUUAGCAAUCCAUGUAAUUGGACAUUCUCAAUUCUCAUUGGUCAAAAAAAAAAAAAAUCAUGGAUUAUGAAUUAAGACCAUUGAUUUGAAAAAGAUCAAAAUCCAACCAUUGAAUCCCUCCAUAUCCCUAAACCCUCCCUCUUUUAUCUUUUCUCUCAUAGUCGUUCCUCACAACUCAAGUCACAGCCUCCCUCUUCAUCUUCCUCAUUCCUCUUCCAUCUUCACGUACACCAUUGAAUCUCAGAUCUAUUUUCUCUCUCAUCUCUCACUCUCAACCUCUCAGUUUAUCUAUCUCCUACCUUCAUAUGUUCUUACUGGUGUGCUGAAGUCCAAGAAAUCAAAGUAAAUCUACAAGAUUACGUUUUUAUCUCUUGGUCUGAUUCUUUUGAGAUUUAUAUUCUUGUUUAGGGAACUUUCUUUCAUGAAAGGUAUCCCUCAACCUAACAACUUCGAAAAUUUUGUACCACUGUACCAUAUAUACUGUCCACAGCAUUAUAGCUCUGUCGCUUAACUUUCAAAUUUUGUUUGAUUUGAUUAUUAAUUUUCUUAAGCUUGUUUUUUUGUUCAAUUUUGUUAGUUUUCUUCUUGGUAAUAGAUCUUAAUUAACCCUGAUAGUUGAUGGUUUAAAAAAAUUCAUGAAAGUUAAAAAAUUAAUCUGUAAAGAAGAGAAAUAAGAAAGAAAGAAAAGGAGAGUAAGAUAAAUGAAUUAUUGUUUGGGAAAGUUAAAUGAUGGAUGUUUGUUCAGUA